ensembl:snRNA U6 U6 spliceosomal RNA
GUGCUCAUUUGGGAGCACAUACACUAUAAUUGGAAUGAUACAGAGAAGAUUAGCAUGGCCUCUGCUCAAGGAUGACACGCAAAUUCAUGAAGCAUUCCAUAUAUAU